UACAGAGGUCUCGAGCGUUAGGCGGAAUCACUGGGCUUAAAGCGUGUGUAGGUGGAUGCCUAAGUACCUUGUGAAAUCCCACAGCUUAACUGUGGAACUGCUUGGUAUACUGGGUGUCUUGAGUCACUCAGGGGCGAAGCGGAACAAAUGGUGGAGCGGUGAAAUGCGAUAGAUAAUUCAUUUGGAACGCCAAUGGUGAAAACAUGCUCGCUGGGGGUGUACUGACACUGGAGAACACGGAAAGCCAGGGGAGCGAAACGG
rnacentral:rRNA from 1 species